GGAAAGGGAUUUUGAAGAGUGGGUCAUCCCGCUCUGAAUUGAAAACUUCAUCAACCAGCUUCAUCAGAUAUACCAGAGGCCAAGUGGGUUCAAUGAGUUGGCCAGAUAACAAGUCGAAAUAGUGAUUUUUUUUGUUAAUAUUUAAAAAAAAAAGCUCAACUUGGAUAUGUUUUUUUUUUUUGUUUGUUAAAUCAAUUCGACAUGGCGUUUUUCAAGCUUAUCUUUCUACAAAAUAAAACGUAUCAGAAUAUACAGGCACGUUAGCUGGCUGACUCCUUUAUAGGAUACCCCUCAGGACCUUCCCUCUAUCAGUCUACGAGGGCGGGAUGGCCCAGCUAUCCAGCUCGCAGCAGGGUUGUAACGCACUUAUCCAAACUGAGACCUUUGUCAGUUUCUCUGAGUGGCUCACUCAAAACCUUCCUGCUUGUUGUAGUGGGAGCUCAGGUGGCCUGAUAACCGGGCCCGGCCGCUAGGCUCGCUAACUCUGUACCAGGCCGCUAGGCUCGCUAACUCUUUACGAGGCAGCUAGGCUAGCUAACACCUUUACGGGGCAGCUAGGCUAGCCAACUCUUUACGGGGCAGCUAGGCUAGCCAACUCUUUACGGGGCCGCUAGGCUAGCCAACUCUUUACGAGGCCGCUAGGCUAGCCAACUCUUUACGAGGCCGCUAGGCUAGCCAACUCUUUACGAGGCCGCUAGGCUAGCCAACUCUUUACGAGGCCGCUAGGCUAGCCAGCUCUUUACGAGGCCGCUAGGCUAGCCAACUCUUUACGAGGCCGCUAGGCUAGCCAACUCUUUACGAGGCCGCUAGGCUAGCCAACUCUUUACGAGGCCGCUAGGCUAGCCAACUCUUUACGAGGCCGCUAGGCUAGCCAACUCUUUACGAGGCCGCUAGGCUAGCCAACUCUUUACGAGGCCGCUAGGCUAGCCAACUCUUACGAGGCCGCUAGGCUAGCCAACUCUGACUAUCUAGUAUCUCCUCAUUGCUGGGAUUUAACAAAGUCCAAACAACAUCUCACCUGUUAUCAUUAUUUUUGCCCCUUGAACCACUGCUGUUGUGGUGGUACUAUCGAUCCAUUAUCUGAGAUCUGGGCCGUUCUGAUUGACAUGUUGUGCUCACUGACUGGCUGCAUCACAAGUGGCAUAUAGGGAAUAGGGUGCCGUUUGAUGCAGUCAUUGUUGCUGACUGUAAUAGGGAGACAUGGACCCUGCCGAAGUAGCCUGAGCUGAAGUUCAGCUUAACCUAGACCUGGACUAAAGAUCACUUUCAAUGGAGAAUCCUUUAGUCGUGUUUCUUAGUCCAGGACUAGGCUUAAUUAAUCUGUGUCUGGGAAACAGGCCUUCAAUUGGUCUGAACCCAAGAGAGUCCCAGCAACGAAGAUACUUAAAACUUUAACACAAACUAUUUUCCAGCAGAUACCUCAGGACCUAGAAAUAUAUAGAGAGAGCUGGGGGGGGGGACUUCACCAGGUAUCAAUACAACUGUUAUUGACUUGCCAGGUAUCAGCCAGGUAAGAUAACUGUUAUUGACUCUCCAGGUA